rnacentral:rRNA from 1 species
GUGGAGCCGACCUUGAAAUACCACCCUUUAAUGUUUGAUGUUCUAACGUGGAUCCGUAAUCCGGGUUGCGGACAGUGUCUGGUGGGUAGUUUGACUGGGGCGGUCUCCUCCUAAAGAGUAACGGAGGAGCACGAAGGUUGGCUAAUCCUGGUCGGACAUCAGGAGGUUAGUGCAAUGGCAUAAGCCAGCUUGACUGCGAGCGUGACGGCGCGAGCAGGUGCGAAAGCAGGUCAUAGUGAUCCGGUGGUUCUGAAUGGAAGGGCCAUCGCUCAACGGAUAAAAGGUACUCCGGGGAUAACAGGCUGAUACCGCCCAAGAGUUCAUAUCGACGGCGGUGUUUGGCACCUCGAUGUCGGCUCAUCACAUCCUGGGGCUGAAGUAGGUCCCAAGGGUAUGGCUGUUCGCCAUUUAAAGUGGUACGCGAGCUGGGUUUAGAACGUCGUGAGACAGUUCGGUCCCUAUCUGCCGUGGGCGCUGGAGAACUGAGGGGGGCUGCUCCUAGUACGAGAGGACCGGAGUGGACGCAUCACUGGUGUUCGGGUUGUCAUGCCAAUGGCACUGCCCGGUAGCUAAAUGCGGAAGAGAUAAGUGCUGAAAGCAUCUAAGCACGAAACUUGCCCCGAGAUGAGUUCUCCCUGAGACUUAGAGUCUCCUGAAGGAACGUUGAAGACGACGACGUUGAUAGGCCGGGUGUGUAAGCGCAGCGAUGCGUUGAGCUAACCGGUACUAAUGAACCGUGAGGCUUAACCUUACAACGCCGAAG